rnacentral:rRNA from 1 species
AGUGAACGCUGGCGGUAGGCCUAACACAUGCAAGUCGAACGGCAGCACAGGAGAGCUUGCUCUCUGGGUGGCGAGUGGCGGACGGGUGAGGAAUACAUCGGAAUCUACUUUUUCGUGGGGGAUAACGUAGGGAAACUUACGCUAAUACCGCAUACGACCUACGGGUGAAAGCAGGGGACCUUCGGGCCUUGCGCGAUUGAAUGAGCCGAUGUCGGAUUAGCUAGUUGGCGGGGUAAAGGCCCACCAAGGCGACGAUCCGUAGCUGGUCUGAGAGGAUGAUCAGCCACACGGGAACUGAGACACGGUCCAGACUCCUACGGGAGGCAGCAGUGGGGAAGAUUGGACAAUGGGCGCAAGCCUGAUCCAGCCAUACCGCGUGGGUGAAGAGGGCCUUCGGGUUAUAAAGCCCUUUUGUUGGGAAAGAAAUCCAGCUGGCUAAUACCCGGUUGGGAUGACGGUACCCAAAGAAUAAGCACCGGCUAACUUCGUGCCAGCCGCCGCAGUAA